CUGUAAUUCCACAUUGCUUUCCAG
rnacentral:miRNA from 1 species